UGGCUUUGUAGCUCAGCUGGUUAGAGCGCGUCUCUCAUAAGGACGAGGUCGGUGGUUCGAGUCUACCCGGCGCCAU
rnacentral:tRNA from 1 species